CCCUGUGCAAUCGGUCGGUUCGGUUCCGAACCGAACCGAACCGAUAAAACCGAAAACCGAUUUGCUGAAAUUUUAAAAAUCGAAAAAACCGAUUCUGGAGGUAUAACCGAACCGAAUCGAACCGAUAAAAAUCGGUUCGGUUCGGUUCGGUUCGGUUAAAACCGAAAUCUGUUUUUUUUUUAAUUUUUUAUUUUUAAUUUGGAACCUGUGCAAUCGGUCGGUUCAGUUCCGAACCG
rnacentral:lncRNA from 1 species